rnacentral:rRNA from 1 species
AGCGAACGUUAGCGGCAGGCUUAACACAUGCAAGUCGAGCGAGAAAGAGGGUUUCGGCCCUCGAGUAAAGCGGCGUACGGGUGAGUAACACGUGGGUAAUCUGCCCUCCGGUGGGGGACAACAACCCGAAAGGGUUGCUAAUACCGCAUUCGUCGGCGAGCUCUGCGGAGCACGUCGGGAAAGGUGCCCUCUACUUGUAAGGUACCGCCGGAGGAGGAGCCCGCGUCCCAUCAGCUAGUUGGUAGGGAACGGCCUACCAAGGCAAAGACGGGUAGCUGGUCUGAGAGGAUGAUCAGCCACACUGGGACUGAGACACGGCCCAGACUCCUACGGGAGGCAGCAGUGGGGAAUAUUGGACAAUGGGCGCAAGCCUGAUCCAGCCAUGCCGCGUGAGUGAUGAAGGCCCUCGGGUCGUAAACCUCUUUCAGCUCCGACGAAGCGAGAGUGACGGUAGGAGCAGAAGAAGCACCGGCCAACUACGUGGCAGCCGCCGCAGU